rnacentral:rRNA from 1 species
GACGAACGCUGGCGGCGUGCCUAAUACAUGCAAGUAGAACGCUGAAGAGAGGAGCUUGCUCUUCUCUGGUGAGUUGCGAACGGGUGUGUAACGCGUAGGUAACCUGCCUUGCAGUGGGGGAUAACUAUUGGAAACGAUAGCUAAUACCGCAUAACAAUGGAUGACACAUGUCGUGUUUUUGAAAGUGGCCAUUGCUGCACUGCAAGGUGGACCUUCGUUGUAUUAGCUAGUAGGUGAGGUAAUGGCGCAUCUAGGCGACGAUACCUAGCCGACCUGACAGGGUGAUCGGCCACACUGGGACUGAGACACGGCCCAGACGCCUACGGGUGGCAGCAGUAGUGAAUCCUGGGGAAGAGGGGCAAAACUGAGCGAGAAACGCCGCGGGAGUGAAGAGGGUUGUCGGGUCGUAGAGCACUGUUGUAGGGCAAGAACGGGUGUGAGAGUGGAAAGUUCACAGUGUGACGGUAGCUGAUCAGAAAGGGACGGCUAACUACGUG